rnacentral:rRNA from 1 species
UGGGCGUAAAGCGCGCGUAGGCGGUUUUGCAAGCCAGAGGUGAAAUGCCUGAGCUCAACUUAGGAAUUGCCUUUGGGACUGCGAGGCUUUGAGGACUGGAGAGGUGAGUGGAAUUCCCAGUGUAGAGGUGAAAUUCGUAGAUAUUGGGAAGAACACCAGUGGCGAAGGCGGCUCACUGGCCAGUUUCUGACGCUGCAGCGCGAAAGCGUGGGGAUCAAACAGGAUUAGAUACCCUGGUAGUCCACGCUGUAAACGAUGAGUGCUAGGCGUCGGCACGCUUGCGUGUCGGUGCCGCAGCUAACGCGUGAAGCACUCCGCCUGGGGAGUACGGUCGCAAGAUUAAAACUCAAAGGAAUUGACGGGGACCCGCACAAGCGGUGGAUGAUGUGGAUUAAUUCGAUGCAACGCGAAGAACCUUACCUACCCUUGACAUCCAGAGAAUCUGUUAGAGAUAGUAGAGUGCCUUCGGGAGCUCUGAGACAGGUGCUGCAUGGCUGUCGUCAGCUCGUGUCGUGAGAUGUUGGUUUAAGUACCCUAACGAGCGCAACCCUCGUUGCCAGUUACAAGUGUCUGGCGAGACUGCCGGCCGCAAGCCGGAGGAAGGCGGGGAUGACGUCAAGUCAGCAUGGCCUUUAUAUCUGGGGCUGCACACACGCUACAAUGGGCAGCAACAAUGGGUCGCCAAGCCGCGAGGCGGAGCCAAUCCCAAAAAACUGUCCUCAGUUCAGAUUGCAGGCUGCAACCCGCCUGCAUGAAGUCGGAGUUGCUAGUAAACGCGCGUC